GUAACACAUUCUUGAGUCCCCUUAAGUUUGGAUCACCUAUGCAAGGAGUACAGAACCAACCUUGGGUGCAGCUAUAUCCAGAGUAGAUCAGCUUAUUUGAUAUAGGACCCUGUGCAAGGAAUGGUUUAGAAUCUCGUAAAUGAUGGAAGCCAAAAGCAACUCGUGCAUCCAUUCCUAUACUAAAAUAGUUAUAGAAGACCCCUCCAAAGCAAGAAAUCUUGUCAGGUACCUCCCCUUCAAUAUUGAUAUCGUUCAAGACAUGACUAUAGGUUCCCCCAUCUAAAUGCUUAAGUGAGUGUGGUAGCUCCAAUGCUUCUCCCUCUGGCAUAGAAACCACGACAUGCCAACUAUCAAGGCGGCAAACUGAACCAGUAGCAGCCUUGAGGAGAGAUCGUUU
rnacentral:misc_RNA from 1 species